rnacentral:piRNA from 1 species
UGAAAACAACCAAAUGGUACUUUAUCGUGG